UACGAAGGGGGCUAGCGUUGUUCGGAAUUACUGGGCGUAAAGCGCGCGUAGGCGGAUCGUUAAGUCAGGGGUGAAAUCCUGGGGCUCAACCCCAGAACUGCCCUUGAUACUGGCGGUCUUGAGUUCGAGAGAGGUGAGUGGAAUUCCGAGUGUAGAGGUGAAAUUCGUAGAUAUUCGGAGGAACACCAGUGGCGAAGGCGGCUCACUGGCUCGAUACUGACGCUGAGGUGCGAAAGCGUGGGGAGCAAACAGG
rnacentral:misc_RNA from 1 species